rnacentral:misc_RNA from 1 species
UCCGAGUUGACCCCGGCAGUCUCCUAUGAGUCCCCACCAUAACGUGCUGGCAACAUAGGACGAGGGUUGCGCUCGUUGCGGGACUUAACCCAACAUCUCACGACACGAGCUGACGACAGCCAUGCACCACCUGUAUAGGGCCCCGAAGGACACCGUAUCUCUACGGUUUCACCCUGCAUGUCAAGCCCUGGUAAGGUUCUUCGCGUUGCGUCGAAUUAAGCCACAUGCUCCGCCGCUUGUGCGGGUCCCCGUCAAUUCCUUUGAGUUUUAGCCUUGCGGCCGUACUCCCCAGGCGGGGUGCUUAAUGCGUUAGCUUCGGCACGGAUGGGGUCGAUGUCCACCCACACCUAGCACCCAACGUUUACGGCUAGGACUAC